rnacentral:rRNA from 1 species
UUUAACUGAGCGUUCAGUUACUUGACGUAGACCCGAAACCGGGCGACCUACCCAUGAGCAGGAUGAAGCGAAAGUAAAAUUUCGUGGAGGUCCGAACCCACGAGCGUUGAAAAGCUCGGGGAUGACUUGUGGGUAGCGGUGAAAUUCCAAUCGAGCCCGGAGAUAGCUGGUUCUCCCCGAAAUAGCUUUAGGGCUAGCCUCAAGGUGAGAGAUACGGAGGUAGAGCACUGAAUGUCCUAGGGGGUAUUGCACCUACCGAAGACUAUCAAACUCCGAAUGCCGUCAUCUUAUACUUGGGAGUCAGACUGUGGGUGAUAAGAUUCAUAGUCGAAAGGGCAACAGCCCAGAUCGUCAGCUAAGGUCCCUAAAUGUAAGUUAAGUGGUAAAGGAUGUGGGAUUGCACAGACAACCAGGAUGUUGGCUUAGAAGCAGCCACUCAUUCAAAGAGUGCGUAAUAGCUCACUGGUCGAGUGAUCCUGCGCCGAAGAUUUCCGGGGCUAAAACUUACUACCGAAGCUACGGCAUCAGUAAUGAUGGGUAGGGGAGCUUCCCAUACGGGUUGAAGCAUGACCGUAAGGACAUGUGGACAGUAUGGGAGUGAGAAUGUUGGCAUGAGUAGCGAGAUGUGGGUGAGAAUCCCACAGGCCGUAAACCCAAGGUUUCCAGGGGAAGGUUCGUCCGCCCUGGGUUAGUCGGGACCUAAGCUGAGGCCGAAAGGCGUAGGUGAUGGACAACAGGUUGAUAUUCCUGUACUACCGAUAACCGUUUGAGAGAAGGGAUGACACAGUAGGAUAAGCUAAGCACACUGUUGGUUAUGUGUGCCCAAGCAUUGAGGCAGUCAAAGUAGGCAAAUCCGCUUUGAUAAUGCUGGGAUGUGAUGGGGAGCGAAAUUUAGUAGCGAAGUAGCUGAUUUCACACUGUCAAGAAAAGUCUCUAUCGAGGUUAAAGGUACCCGUACCGCAAACCGACACAGGUGGGUGAGGAGAGUAUCCUAAGGCCAGCGAGAGAACUGUUGUUAAGGAACUCGGCAAAAUGACCCCGUAACUUAGGGAUAAGGGGUGCCACCAUCAGGUGGCCGCAGAGAAUAGGCCCAAGCGACUGUUUACCAAAAACAUAGGUUUCUGCUAAGUCGCAAGACGAUGUAUAGGAGCUGACGCCUGCCCGGUGCUGGAAGGUUAAGGGGAUCUGUUAGAGCAAUCGAAGCAGUGAACUUAAGCCCCAGUAAACGGCGGCCGUAACUAUAACGGUCCUAAGGUAGCGAAAUUCCUUGUCGGGUAAGUUCCGACCCGCACGAAAGGCGUAACGAUUUGGGCACUGUCUCAACAACAGACUCGGUGAAAUUGUAAUUCCGGUGAAGAUGCCGGAUACCUGCGACAGGACGGAAAGACCCCAUGGAGCUUUACUGUAGCUUGACAUUGGGUCUUGGUACUACAUGUACAGGAUAGGUGGGAGGCUUUGAAACCAGGACGCCAGUUUUGGCGGAGCCAUCCUUGGGAUACCACCCUUGUAGUACUGGGACUCUAACCAUAGGCCAUGAAUCUGGUCUUGGGACACUGUCAGGUGGGCAGUUUGACUGGGGCGGUCGCCUCCCAAAAGGUAACGGAGGCGCUCAAAGGUUCUCUCAGUACGGUCGGAAAUCGUACGUAGAGUGUAAAGGCAAAAGAGAGCUUGAUUGCAAGACAUACAGGUCGAGCAAGGAUGAAAAUCGGACUUAGUGAUCCGGUGGUUCUGCGUGGAAGGGCCAUCGCUCAACGGAUAAAAGCUACCCUGGGGAUAACAGGCUUAUCUCCCCCAAGAGUCCACAUCGACGGGGAGGUUUGGCACCUCGAUGUCGGCUCAUCACAUCCUGGGGCUGUAGUAGGUCCCAAGGGUUGGGCUGUUCGCCCAUUAAAGUGGUACGCGAGCUGGGUUCAGAACGUCGUGAGACAGUUCGGUCCCUAUCCGUCGCAGGCGUAGGAAAUUUGAGAAGACCUGUCCUUAGUACGAGAGGACCGGGAUGGACGUACCUCUGGUGUACCAGUUGUCCUGCCAAGGGC